GUUCCCUCCUCCUCUUUCCUCCUUCUUUUUCCAGCGUUGUCCGGAAUCACUGGGCGUAAAGGGUGCGCAGGCGGGGCAGCAAGUCGGAGGUGAAAGCCCGUGGCUCAACCACGGAAGUGCCUUCGAAACUGUUGCUCUUGAGUCCCGGAGAGGUUGCCGGAAUUCGUGGUGUAGCGGUGAAAUGCGUAGAUAUCACGAGGAACACCAGAGGCGAAAGCGGGCAACUGGACGGGUACUGACGCUCAGGCACGAAAGCGCGGGGAGCAAACAGGAUUAGAAACCCCAGUAGUCC
rnacentral:rRNA from 1 species